CAGAGGCGGCCUCCUGAUAACUCCUUUUAUGUACGGACAUGUAAUAAAAAUCCAAAGAAGACAAAAUGGUGGUAUCAUGAUGAUACCUGUUAAUAUGAACUUUCUAGAACUCCCGGAGGGAAGAAGUCCUACUGACAUUAUAAAAGCACUUUUUGAUAGCAUAUGGUCUCUGAACUUUAAACUUGGACUCAAACACAAGCAUGGACUCAGACCACAAACAUGGGAGAUGAUAUCAGCUGUGUUACCGGUAGCCAGUUGGAUGCAUGUUUGGG